rnacentral:lncRNA from 1 species
AUUCAACCUGGGUUUUCAGAAUUCUAUGAGCAGAGGGAAUUUUCCUCAUUCCUGAGAAAAAGAGAUGUAGAAUAAAUGAGAGUAAAUAAAUGGGAGUAAGAGGAAAGGAUGAAGCUGGCUGGACAUGUGACGGGUAGACCAAGAGCCUACCCUUGGUCGAAUAUAACCACAUCUUUUUUUUUGGGUGUGGUAGAAAGAAUAUGGAAUUUAUUGCCCCUAAUAUGUCUUUCAUCCUCUAGUGCUGGGAUAAAGCAAUUGUGAGAAAAUAUUUAUUAUAGAGUCUAGGUGAUACACACAUAAAAUUCACUGAGAAAUUCUUUUUAACUUUAUCAUGCACUUUACAUUUUUCUAAUUAAAUG